rnacentral:rRNA from 1 species
UUAAGCGACUAAGCGUACACGGUGGAUGCCCUGGCAGUCAGAGGCGAUGAAGGGCGUGCUAAUCUGCGAUAAGCGCCGGUAAGGUGAUAUGAACCGUUAUAACCGGCGAUACCCGAAUGGGGAAACCCAGUGUGACUCGUCACACUAUCAUUAACUGAAUCCAUAGGUUAAUGAGGCGAACCGGGGGAACUGAAACAUCUAAGUACCCCGAGGAAAAGAAAUCAACCGAGAUUCCCCCAGUAGCGGCGAGCGAACGGGGAGGAGCCCAGAGCCUGAAUCAGCAUGUGUGUUAGUGGAAGCGUCUGGAAAGGCGCGCGAUACAGGGUGACAGCCCCGUACACAAAAGCGCAUGUGCUGUGAGCUCGAUGAGUAGGGCGGGACACGUGGUAUCCUGUCUGAAUAUGGGGGGACCAUCCUCCAAGGCUAAAUACUCCUGACUGACCGAUAGUGAACCAGUACCGUGAGGGAAAGGCGAAAAGAACCCCGGCGAGGGGAGUGAAAAAGAACCUGAAACCGUGUACGUACAAGCAGUGGGAGCACCCUUUGGGGUGUGACUGCGUACCUUUUGUAUAAUGGGUCAGCGACUUAUAUUCUGUAGCAAGGUUAACCGAAUAGGGGAGCCGGAGGGAAACCGAGUCUUAAUUGGGCGUUAAGUUGCAGGGUAUAGACCCGAAACCCGGUGAUCUAGCCAUGGGCAGGUUGAAGGUUGGGUAACACUAACUGGAGGACCGAACCGACUAAUGUUGAAAAAUUAGCGGAUGACCUGUGGCUGGGGGUGAAAGGCCAAUCAAACCGGGAGAUAGCUGGUUCUCCCCGAAAGCUAUUUAGGUAGCGCCUCGUGAAUUCAUCUCCGGGGGUAGAGCACUGUUUCGGCUAGGGGGCCAUCCCGGCUUACCAACCCGAUGCAAACUGCGAAUACCGGAGAAUGUUAUCACGGGAGACACACGGCGGGUGCUAACGUCCGUCGUGAAGAGGGAAACAACCCAGACCGCCAGCUAAGGUCCCAAAGUCAUGGUUAAGUGGGAAACGAUGUGGGAAGGCCCAGACAGCCAGGAUGUUGGCUUAGAAGCAGCCAUCAUUUAAAGAAAGCGUAAUAGCUCACUGGUCGAGUCGGCCUGCGCGGAAGAUGUAACGGGGCUAAACCAUGCACCGAAGCUGCGGCAGCGACGCUGAUGCGUUGUUGGGUAGGGGAGCGUUCUGUAAGCCUGUGAAGGUGGCCUGUGAGGGUUGCUGGAGGUAUCAGAAGUGCGAAUGCUGACAUAAGUAACGAUAAAGCGGGUGAAAAGCCCGCUCGCCGGAAGACCAAGGGUUCCUGUCCAACGUUAAUCGGGGCAGGGUGAGUCGACCCCUAAGGCGAGGCCGAAAGGCGUAGUCGAUGGGAAACGGGUUAAUAUUCCCGUACUUGGUGUUACUGCGAAGGGGGGACGGAGAAGGCUAUGUUGGCCGGGCGACGGUUGUCCCGGUUUAAGCGUGUAGGUGUGUGUUCCAGGUAAAUCCGGUUCACUUUAACACUGAGGCGUGACGACGAGGCACUACGGUGCUGAAGCAACAAAUGCCCUGCUUCCAGGAAAAGCCUCUAAGCAUCAGGUAACAUCAAAUCGUACCCCAAACCGACACAGGUGGUCAGGUAGAGAAUACCAAGGCGCUUGAGAGAACUCGGGUGAAGGAACUAGGCAAAAUGGUGCCGUAACUUCGGGAGAAGGCACGCUGACACGUAGGUGAAGUGAUUUACUCAUGGAGCUGAAGUCAGUCGAAGAUACCAGCUGGCUGCAACUGUUUAUUAAAAACACAGCACUGUGCAAACACGAAAGUGGACGUAUACGGUGUGACGCCUGCCCGGUGCCGGAAGGUUAAUUGAUGGGGUCAGCGCAAGCGAAGCUCCUGAUCGAAGCCCCGGUAAACGGCGGCCGUAACUAUAACGGUCCUAAGGUAGCGAAAUUCCUUGUCGGGUAAGUUCCGACCUGCACGAAUGGCGUAAUGAUGGCCAGGCUGUCUCCACCCGAGACUCAGUGAAAUUGAACUCGCUGUGAAGAUGCAGUGUACCCGCGGCAAGACGGAAAGACCCCGUGAACCUUUACUAUAGCUUGACACUGAACAUUGAGCCUUGAUGUGUAGGAUAGGUGGGAGGCUUUGAAGUGUGGACGCCAGUCUGCAUGGAGCCGACCUUGAAAUACCACCCUUUAAUGUUUGAUGUUCUAACGUGGACCCGUGAUCCGGGUUGCGGACAGUGUCUGGUGGGUAGUUUGACUGGGGCGGUCUCCUCCUAAAGAGUAACGGAGGAGCACGAAGGUUGGCUAAUCCUGGUCGGACAUCAGGAGGUUAGUGCAAUGGCAUAAGCCAGCUUGACUGCGAGCGUGACGGCGCGAGCAGGUGCGAAAGCAGGUCAUAGUGAUCCGGUGGUUCUGAAUGGAAGGGCCAUCGCUCAACGGAUAAAAGGUACUCCGGGGAUAACAGGCUGAUACCGCCCAAGAGUUCAUAUCGACGGCGGUGUUUGGCACCUCGAUGUCGGCUCAUCACAUCCUGGGGCUGAAGUAGGUCCCAAGGGUAUGGCUGUUCGCCAUUUAAAGUGGUACGCGAGCUGGGUUUAGAACGUCGUGAGACAGUUCGGUCCCUAUCUGCCGUGGGCGCUGGAGAACUGAGGGGGGCUGCUCCUAGUACGAGAGGACCGGAGUGGACGCAUCACUGGUGUUCGGGUUGUCAUGCCAAUGGCACUGCCCGGUAGCUAAAUGCGGAAGAGAUAAGUGCUGAAAGCAUCUAAGCACGAAACUUGCCCCGAGAUGAGUUCUCCCUGAGACUUAAAGUCUCCUGAAGGAACGUUGAAGACGACGACGUUGAUAGGCCGGGUGUGUAAGCGCAGCGAUGCGUUGAGCUAACCGGUACUAAUGAACCGUGAGGCUUAACCUU